CUGGCGGCGUGCUUAACACAUGCAAGUCGAACGGGCUUAAAUAGCUUGCUAGAUAAGCCUAGUGGCAAACGGGUGAGUAACGCGUAGGCAACCUGCCCCUGGGACGGGGACAACAUUCCGAAAGGGAUGCUAAUACCGGAUGAAGCACGGACCUCGCAUGGGGGACGUGCUAAAGGUGGGUCAAACCACCGCCGAGGGAUGGGCCUGCGUCUGAUUAGCCAGUUGGUGAGGUAACGGCCCACCAAAGCGACGAUCAGUAGCCGGUCUGAGAGGAUGAACGGCCACAUUGGGACUGAGACACGGCCCAGACUCCUACGGGAGGCAGCAGUGGGGAAUCUUCCGCAAUGGGCGAAAGCCUGACGGAGCAACGCCGCGUGAGUUGAAGAAGGUCUUCGGAUCGUAAAGCUCUGUUGCCGGGGACGAGAGAUUAGGGGAGGCAAUGCCCCUGAGAGGACGGUACCCGGUGAGGAAGCCACGGCUAACUGCGUGCCAGCCGCCGC
rnacentral:rRNA from 1 species